GUACUGGUAGUUAACUCUCAAGGGGAAAUUUCACGGUUGAGCAUCAAAAAGGAAGUGGUCACGAAAGGAAAUAUCAAGAAUUAUCUUAAAUUGGGUCAAGAAGGGAAGUAUCGCGUCUACCACAAUCAAUACUCCACCAAUUCAUUUGCUUUGAAUAAGCACCAGCACAGAGAAGAUCAUGAUAAGAGAAGGCAUCUUGCACAUAAAUUCUGUCUGACUCCAGCAGGAGAGUUCAAAUGGAACGGUUCUGUCCAUGGGUCCAAAGUUCUUACUAUAUCUACUCUGAGACUGACUAUCACCCAAUUAGAAAACAACAUCCCUUCAUCCUUUCUUCAUCCCAAUUGGGCAUCACAUAGGGCAAAUUGGAUCAAGGCAGUUCAGAUGUGUAGCAAACCCAGAGAAUUUGCACUGGUUUUAGCCAUUUUGGAGUGUGCAGUUAAACCAGUUGUGAUGCUACCAAUAUGGCAAGAAUCUUUAGGACAUACCAGCUUUCUCCCUUUGUCUCAUAACCAUGUCCACCAACGAGAAUGCUAAUACACCAGCUGCCCGUCUUCACAGAUUCAAGAACAAGGGAAAAGACAGUACAGAAAUGAGGCGUCGCAGAAUAGAGGUCAAUGUGGAGCUGAGGAAAGCUAAGAAGGAUGACCAGAUGCUGAAGAGGAGAAACGUAAGCUCAUUUCCUGAUGAUGCUACUUCUCCGCUGCAGGAAAACCGCAACAACCAGGGCACUGUAAAUUGGUCUGUUGAUGACAUUGUCAAAGGCGUAAAUAGCAACAAUGUGGAAAAUCAACUCCAAGCUACUCAAGCUGCCAGGAAACUACUUUCUAGAGAAAAACAGCCCCCCAUAGACAACAUAAUCCGGGCUGGUUUGAUUCCAAAAUUUGUGUACUUCUUGGGCAGAACUGAUUGUAGUCCCAUUCAGUUUGAGUCUGCUUGGGCACUUACUAACAUUGCUUCUGGGACAUCAGAACAGACCAAGGCUGUGGUAGAUGGAGGUGCCAUCCCAGCAUUCAUCUCUCUGUUGGCAUCUCCCCAUGCUCACAUCAGUGAACAAGCCGUUUGGGCCCUAGGAAACAUUUCAGGUGACGGCUCAGUGUUCCGAGACUUGGUUAUUAAGUAUGGUGCAGUUGACCCACUGUUGGCUCUCCUUGCGGUUCCUGAUAUGUCAUCUUUAGCACAUGGCUCCUUACGUAAUCUUACCUGGACACUUUGAAAUCUUUGCCGCAACAAGAAUCCUGCACCCCCGAUAGAUGCUGUUGAGCAGAUUCUUCCUACCUUAGUUCGGCUCCUGCAUCAUGAUGAUCUAGAAGUAUUAGCAGAUACCUGCUGGGCUAUUUCCUACCUUACUGACGGUCUGAAUGAACGAAUUGACAUGGUCGUGAAAACAGGAGUUGUGCCCCAACUUGUGAAGUUUCUAGGAGCUUCUGAAUUGCCAAUUGUGACUCCUACCUUAAGAGCCAUAGGGAAUAUUGUCACUGGUACAGAUGAACAGACUCAGGUUGUGACUGAUGCAGGAGCACUCGCUGUCUUUCCCAGCCUGCUCACCAACCCCAAAACUAACAUUCAGAAGGAAGCUACAUGGACAAUGUCAAACAUCACAGUUGGCCGUCAGGACCAGAUACAGCAAGUUGUGAAUCAUGGAUUAGUCCCAUUCCUUGUCAGUGUUCUCUCUAAGGCAGAUUUUAAGACCCAAAAGGAGGCUGUAUGGGCCGUGACCAACUAUACUAGUGGUAGAACAGUUGAGCAGAUUGUGUACCUCGUUCACUGUGGCAUAAUAGAACCAUUGGUGAACCCCUUAACUGCAAAAGAUACCAAGAUUAUUCUGGUUAUCCUGGAUGCCAUUUCAAAUAUCUUUCAGGCUGCUGAGAAACUAGGUGAAACUGAGAAACUUAGUAUAAUGAUUGAAGAAUGUGGCGGCUUAGACAAAAUUGAAGCUCUGCAAAACCAUGAAAAUGAGUCUGUGUAUAAGGCUUCGUUAAGCUUAAUUGAGAAGCAUUUCUCUGUAGAGGAAGAGGAAGAUCAAAAUGUUGUGCCAGAAACUACCUCUGAAGGCUACACCUUCCAAGUUCAGGAUGGAGCUCCUGGGACCUUUACCUUUUAGAUCACGUAGCUGAGGCAUACAUUUGUUGUGUACCAUGUUUGGUAUUUUGUCUUAUUGUUUCUCUACUAAGAACUCUUUUUAAAUGUGGUUUGUUAUUGUAGCACUUUUUACACUGAAACUAUACUUGAACAGUUCCAACUGUACAUACUGUAUGAAGCUUGUCCUCUGACUAGGUUUCUUAUUUCUAUGUGGAAUUUCAUAUCUUGCAGGAUCCUGUAAAUAAACAUUAAAGUCCACCCUUUUCUUUACUUCA